GAUAGGGCCAUGGCUCAGUUGCUGAGCAUCUGCUUUGCAAGCAGAAGGUCUCAGGUUCAAUCCCCCGUCAACCCUACUUCA